CCUUAGAUGUUAAUUCCAAUUUCUCUUCACAGAUGCUGUCAGGCCUGUUGAUCUUUUCCAGCAACUUCUGUUUUUGUCAAGUAAAGAGAUUUAGAUUCUCCCUUACUGGAGAUUGUCAUUGCCUGACACUUUUUUGUAAUGCAUAAUUCGUACCACUUGUCAGCCCUAGCCUAAACUUUGCCCAGGCCUUGCUGCAUAUGGACAUGGACUGCAGUAAUCAGUGCCUAUACCCACUUCUGACUUUGUGAAGGAGUUACGUUCAUUGAUAAAGCAGCUGAAGCUGGUCAGACUGAGGAACUUUGCAGCGAUGACCUGGUACUGAGCUGAUGGAUCUCCGGCAACCACAACCAAUCCUGCCUUUUGCUGUCUAUAUCUCCAACUAGUCGGCCAUUUCCCACCUGAUUCCCAAUUGACUUCAGUUUUCGGAAGGCUUUUUGAUGUCAAGGUGAUUUAAACACCGUGCGUUUUUCUGCAUAUCGGCCAGCAAUGAAGAUCCGCCGACUCCAGAAAGCGCUCUGUUGAAUUACUGAACCAAACAACAGAAUAUGACCAGCAUCACUGACGGUUCCCUCGUUGGAUUUGACAUGUUGCAUUUGAGAAGGAAAUGGCCUGUUUCCAUCAUUCCAGAGUACUUUUGUGAAUCCUUGUAUUUAUUUCUGGGCCAAAUACAGGAAUUAAUUUUAUUUAAUAGCUCCAAUAAGUUAAAACUGUAAUCGAAGUUAGUUUUCUUCCUCCUUUGUCGUGUAUCUGUUGGAGUUGCACACAGCACAACGCGUCUUGGAUCAACACAAAUUGACACAAAAUGAGCAACUUCUAAAUGUGACUGAAGUAAUCAACCGUUUAAUGACCAUUUAUGAUGGUUUGGAACAAAAUCACAAGGACUUGGUCAACGUGCCACUCUGUGUCGAAAUGUGUCUGAACUAGUUGCUGAACGUCUUUGAUACCUAUGUAUGAUUUACACUUUAAUGUAGUAAGUUUAGAUUGUCCUAAGGUGCACUAAACUGCAUGCGACAUAUUGGAUUUUGAUAUGUACAGGAUCAGUUAAGUAAAUGUGAAGAUUGUUGACUGAUUAAAAUCAAUCCGAGUAUUGUUGACAUAAGGUUUCAGUAUGUUCUAGUUUCAUUUCAGUUCAACAGAUAAAGUAGUUGACAGUUUUAGCGACUUUUGUUUUAAAUCAAUAAAAUUGAAACUGAUAUACUUUUGAUUCCAUUUGGUCAGAUCUGCCCAGGAUCAUGUAGACAUCUUGACAUUCUGA